GAACCUGCCCACCAUUCUCCUGGGAAUAGACCACCUCUCCUAAGGGGCUGCCAUCUAAGUGAAAACCAAACUCUAUCAGAAACAGAUUUUUAAGAUUCUGAUUGCAAGACCUCCACCUGCCAACUGAUGAAUCCUACCCUCUGGGGAAGAGACUCUGUAAUCUCUACCUUUUAAAGGACUCCCAAGUGAUCUUGAUGCUAGAUUGCAGUGGACCCAUCUGAGCUCCAAGACUUGCAGAACUGAGAUAAAUCCUCUGGGGAACCCCUUUGGAAAAUUGGGGAGUUAGACAUGCAAAGCAACACUGUCCCUCCUCUGGGAGAAGCUAGGAGCUUCAAGGUCUCUUUCUGAUCCUAUGGAAUUAACUCAGCUUCUCUCUUACCUCAGGCAAAUGGAAAGCAAAACCCUCCCUCUAGCAAUAACGGCUGCUCUAUAAGACCUCCGGCCGGCUGAGACCGCCCAAAUCAGUUUGAGCAAAAGCCCAACUCAUGCCUGUGCAGAAGGACCAUGGAGUAACCUUUAGAAUGAUGGACAGCUACCUUUACCUCAUUAUAAUACUAGAAUCUCCACCCAACGAGGAGCACAAGGCUCAUUUACAUAACAUACUAUGUGUGUGUAGGCAUGUUUCCAUAAGGCGCAUACAGGACUUUAUGCCCGCCUCUAUAUACGAAGACAAGGAUCUUCUGAAAUAGUCAUGCUAACCCUAAAUAAAAGGAACCCAUCCACCCUUGCUUGGGGAGUCACGGCUUUGGAGGUUAUUCCAUAUGAUCUCCUUAUUUGCUGCAAAUAAAUAUGACUUUGUGAACAACUCUACCUGGUGUAGUCUCUCACUGGAACUCACCAAGGAGCAAACUCAUGUUAGGUCAGUUAUACCAAAAAGGGUAGAGGAAAAAUAAGUUUUCCUCCUUCACAUAAGCACAGAGUGGGGCGUUAAGGAUAUGCCCCCAAAGACCCUGUAACUGGAAGUGAUGGAAUAUCUUUCAGUUUCAAUAGGAUUUGAAAGAAGGUUAUGCCCCAUAUUUAAUAAGCAUUUUGGGUGAAUGUCUAUGGAAAGUUACUCAUGAGCUACUUCAAACUAACAUAGAUAUCAAUUAAUGAAGAACUAUUCUAGCUACUUAACAUUGCCCAUCAACCCUUCUAAUGUUUCCCUAGUUUGCGCUCCUGACUAUGUCUGAGUAUUUUACAUAUUUCUCAAUUUUGUCAAACUUCCUACCAAUCCCCGCCAUUACAGAAUAAUUUUGCUGUGUUUUUCACAGGCAGUGCAGAUGCAUUCUGUAACUUUUCAACCACUCAGUUAACAAAGCUUUCUACAUACACACCCUUGCUCAUUCUCUCUUGUGACAAUAAAGUCUACUUAUUUCUAAGACACACUGCUCAGCAAUAUUUGGGAGAGUAGUCACCUCCCAGCCCCCAGGGAAUGCACACUACUCAUUUUUCCCUCUCAUACUCUACUCUCUCUGGCCAAUAGCAUUUUACAUCUUUCCGGUUAACCUCACUUAUAAAAAACAAAAGCAAACCAACAACAACAACAACAAAACUUUAAUUUCAAAGAUGUUCCAAUAAUGAUCCAAGCCUACCAUUCAUUUUGCUUCUACAA